rnacentral:rRNA from 1 species
UACGUAGGGGGCGAGCGUUAAUCGGAAUUACUGGGCGUAAAGCGUGCGCAGGCGGUCUCAAAAGUCUGAUGUGAAAUCCCCGGGCUCAACCUGGGAACUGCGUUGGAAACUUUGAGGCUAGAGUGCGGCAGAGGGAGGUGGAAUUCCACGUGUAGCAGUGAAAUGCGUAGAGAUGUGGAGGAACACCGAUGGCGAAGGCAGCCUCCUGGGCUGACACUGACGCUCAUGCACGAAAGCGUGGGGAGCAAACCGG